GGAUGAGCCCGCGGCCUAUCAGCUAGUUGGUGGGGUAACGGCCCACCAAGGCAUCGACGGGUAGCUGGUCUGAGAGGACGAUCAGCCACACUGGGACUGAGACACGGCCCAGACUCCUACGGGAGGCAGCAGUGGAGAAUCUUGCACAAUGGGCGAAAGCCUGACGCAGCAACGCCGCGUGCGGGAUGAAGGCCUUCGGGUUGUAAACCGCUUUCAGUGGGGACGAACCAAGACGGUACCCACAGGAGAAGCCCCGGCCAACUACGUGACAGCAGCCGCGGCCG
rnacentral:rRNA from 1 species